AGAGUUUGAUCCUGGCUCAGGACGAACGCUGGCGGCGUGCUUAACACAUGCAAGUCGAACGGAAAGGCCCUUCGGGGUACUCGAGUGGCGAACGGGUGAGUAACACGUGGGUGAUCUGCCCUGCACUCUGGGAUAAGCCUGGGAAACUGGGUCUAAUACCGGAUAGGACCGCAUGCUUCAUGGUGUGUGGUGCAAAGCUUUUGCGGUGUGGGAUGAGCCCGCGGCCUAUCAGCUUGUUGGUGGGGUAAUGGCCUACCAAGGCGACGACGGGUAGCCGGCCUGAGAGGGUGACCGGCCACACUGGGACUGAGAUACGGCCCAGACUCCUACGGGAGGCAGCAGUGGGGAAUAUUGCACAAUGGGCGCAAGCCUGAUGCAGCGACGCCGCGUGAGGGAUGACGGCCUUCGGGUUGUAAACCUCUUUCACCAGGGACGAAGCGCAAGUGACGGUACCUGGAGAAGAAGCACCGGCCAACUACGUGCCAGCAGCCGCGGUAAUACGUAGGGUGCGAGCGUUGUCCGGAAUUACUGGGCGUAAAGAGCUCGUAGGUGGUUUGUCGCGUUGUUCGUGAAAACUCACAGCUUAACUGUGGGCGUGCGGGCGAUACGGGCAGACUAGAGUACUGCAGGGGAGACUGGAAUUCCUGGUGUAGCGGUGGAAUGCGCAGAUAUCAGGAGGAACACCGGUGGCGAAGGCGGGUCUCUGGGCAGUAACUGACGCUGAGGAGCGAAAGCGUGGGGAGCGAACAGGAUUAGAUACCCCGGUAGUCCAA
rnacentral:rRNA from 1 species